rnacentral:rRNA from 1 species
UUGGGAAACAGGUUAAUAUUCCUGUACUUGGUGUUACUGCGAAGGGGGGACGGAGAAGGCUAUGUUGGCCGGGCGACGGUUGUCCCGGUUUAAGCGUGUAGGCUGGCUUUCCAGGCAAAUCCGGAAAAUCAAGGCUGAGGCGUGAUGACGAGGCACUACGGUGCUGAAGCAACAAAUGCCCUGCUUCCAGGAAAAGCCUCUAAGCAUCAGGUAACAUCAAAUCGUACCCCAAACCGACACAGGUGGUCAGGUAGAGAAUACCAAGGCGCUUGAGAGAACUCGGGUGAAGGAACUAGGCAAAAUGGUGCCGUAACUUCGGGAGAAGGCACGCUGAUAUGUAGGUGAAGCGACUUGCUCGUGGAGCUGAAAUCAGUCGAAGCUACCAGCUGGCUGCAACUGUUUAUUAAAAACACAGCACUGUGCAAACACGAAAGUGGACGUAUACGGUGUGACGCCUGCCCGGUGCCGGAAGGUUAAUUGAUGGGGUUAGCCGCAAGGCGAAGCUCUUGAUCGAAGCCCCGGUAAACGGCGGCCGUAACGAUAACGGUCCUAAGGUAGCGAAAUUCCUUGUCGGGUAAGUUCCGACCUGCACGAAUGGCGUAAUGAUGGCCAGGCUGUCUCCACCCGAGACUCAGUGAAAUUGAACUCGCUGUGAAGAUGCAGUGUACCCGCGGCAAGACGGAAAGACCCCGUGAACCUUUACUAUAGCUUGACACUGAACAUUGAGCCUUGAUGUGUAGGAUAGGUGGGAGGCUUUGAAGUGUGGACGCCAGUCUGCAUGGAGCCGACCUUGAAAUACCACCCUUUAAUGUUUGAUGUUCUAACGUUGACCCGUAAUCCGGGUUGCGGACAGUGUCUGGUGGGUAGUUUGACUGGGGCGGUCUCCUCCUAAAGAGUAACGGAGGAGCACGAAGGUUGGCUAAUCCUGGUCGGACAUCAGGAGGUUAGUGCAAUGGCAUAAGCCAGCUUGACUGCGAGCGUGACGGCGCGAGCAGGUGCGAAAGCAGGUCAUAGUGAUCCGGUGGUUCUGAAUGGAAGGGCCAUCGCUCAACGGAUAAAAGGUACUCCGGGGAUAACAGGCUGAUACCGCCCAAGAGUUCAUAUCGACGGCGGUGUUUGGCACCUCGAUGUCGGCUCAUCACAUCCUGGGGCUGAAGUAGGUCCCAAGGGUAUGGCUGUUCGCCAUUUAAAGUGGUACGCGAGCUGGGUUUAGAACGUCGUGAGACAGUUCGGUCCCUAUCUGCCGUGGGCGCUGGAGAACUGAGGGGGGCUGCUCCUAGUACGAGAGGACCGGAGUGGACGCAUCACUGGUGUUCGGGUUGUCAUGCCAAUGGCACUGCCCGGUAGCUAAAUGCGGAAGAGAUAAGUGCUGAAAGCAUCUAAGCACGAAACUUGCCCCGAGAUGAGUUCUCCCUGACUCCUUGAGAGUCCUGAAGGAACGUUGAAGACGACGACGUUGAUAGGCCGGGUGUGUAAGCGCAGCGAUGCGUUGAGCUAACCGGUACUAAUGAACCGUGAGGCUUAACUC